UCCCAGACUCCUACGGGAGGCAGCAGUAGGGAAUUUUGCGCAAUGGGGGAAACCCUGACGCAGCAACGCCGCGUGAUUGAUGAAGCCCUUCGGGGUGUAAAGAUCUGUCAGUGGGGACGAAACUUGACGGUACCCACAGAGGAAGCAUCGGCUAACUACGUGCCAGCAGCCGCGGUAAUACGUAGGGGGCAAGCGUUAUCCGGAUUUACUGGGUGUAAAGGGAGCGUAGACGGCAGCACAGGUCUGGAGUGAAUCCCGGGGCUUAACCCCGGAACUGCUUUGGAAACUGUGCGGCUGGAGUGCAGGAGGGGUAAGCGGAAUUCCUAGUGUAGCGGUGAAAUGCGUAGAUAUUAGGAGGAACACCGGUGGCGAAGGCGGCUUACUGGACUGUAACUGACGUUGAGGCUCGAAAGCGUGGGGAGCAAACAGGAUUAGAUACCCUAGUA
rnacentral:rRNA from 1 species